GAUGAACGCUGGCGGCGUGCUUAACACAUGCAAGUCGAACGGAAAGGCCCAAGCUUGCUUGGGUACUCGAGUGGCGAACGGGUGAGUAACACGUGGGUGAUCUGCCCUGCACUUCGGGAUAAGCCUGGGAAACUGGGUCUAAUACCGGAUAGGACCACAUUUUGGAUGGUGUGGUGGAAAGUUUUUCGGUGUGGGAUGAGCUCGCGGCCUAUCAGCUUGUUGGCGGGGUAAUGGCCUACCAAGGCGUCGACGGGUAGCCGGCCUGAGAGGGUGUACGGCCACAUUGGGACUGAGAUACGGCCCAGACUCCUACGGGAGGCAGCAGUGGGGAAUAUUGCACAAUGGGCGCAAGCCUGAUGCAGCGACGCCGCGGGGGGGAUGACGGCCUUCGGGUUGUAAACUCCUUUCGCUAGGGACGAAGCGUUAUGUGACGGUACCUGGAGAAGAAGCACCGGCUAACUACGUG
rnacentral:rRNA from 1 species